rnacentral:rRNA from 1 species
UGGUGACUAUAGCAAGGAGGUCACACCUGUUCCUAUGCCGAACACAGAAGUUAAGCUCCUUAGCGUCGAUGGUAGUCGAACUUACGUUCCGCUAGAGUAGAACGUUGCCAGGCA